UAGUUUUUAAUUCAAGAAUUUGUUAAACAUAAAUUCAUAAUAGUUAUUGCUACAUAAUAUUGACCUGACAUUGUAAGUGAGAGUGGCUUCUUUUGAGGCUUUUGUUGUUGUUGUUGUUGUGUUAUUUGAGAAAAUCAAUUAUGUUUUGUUAACUUUUAAAGAUUAUGUUACUACUACUACUACAACUACUGCUGUUUCUGUGAAGUUAAGAAGGGACUUUCCUGGGGAUACUAUGAGCAGUUGUCCCAAAUGUUAGGUGAAUUCCCAGGACAGGUAUUAGUAACAUUAUGUGGAUUCCAAAUUAGUUAAAGUAACUGUUGAGUAGAUUAAAGGAAUAAGAGUAUAUUCUCGGGAAAGAGAGGAGAAUUUAUUUGAAAUUUUCAUCUUGUAGAAGAUCUUAUUUUGUGUUUUCUUUUCUAGAAAUAUACUUCUGCAAAAAGUUUAUCUUGGUUAAAUAAGAGGUGUAUGAAGGCAAUUGCCACUGUAGAUUUUUUGUUUAAGUAGGAAUGUGUAUUUUUGUAGGCAAGAUGUCUGAACAAAAGACAUGAUAGAGAAAGAAAAUAGGCCAGCAUGUAGAGUAUUGUGGGAAUACACAUGAUUGCACAUGUGUGGUCAUACCUGCACACAAGCACAGAAUUGUACCUAUCCAGUAUCUCUGGGUAGAAUCAGAUCUCCUGGGAAAAGGGUAUCAUAUUUUCUGUUAUUGUCACUUUUUUAUUCUUUUUUUUCUCUUUACUUUUCUUAAUUAUUUUCCAACUCUUUAUAAUUUACUUGUUAGGAGUUGUAUUCAUUGGUUCAUAUAUUAUUAAAAAGAACUAAUGUUGAAGUAAAAGCUACAUGGAAAAUUUAAAUGUGUAAACUUAAAGAGAAAUCUCAUUAAGUUAUUUAGUAUCAUUUAGUAUCAUUGGAUAUACUCCAUAUUUUUCCUAAUUUGAAUAUAAUUUUCAAUUAAAACUAUUAGAAAAGAUGUAAAACUCUCAAAUAACUAUAUUUUCAGUGUAAAUUAUAUGUGAACAAGUAGUAAGACUGGAUAUAUAUGCAAAGAUCUGUCUUUUUGCAGAUAACUGUGCUACUUUGAUUAGAACCUUUUGGCUAAAACAAGAACAUAUUCAUAUUGUCUUUAAUGUCAUUAAAAUAAAUUCUUAAAGCUCAAAUGUCUUUCGAAUAAUAUUAGGUUCAUUAUUCUCUAGACCAUAAAUUGGAGGUGAGUUAGCACUUGCAUUAUUAUCAGGUGAUUUUAAAGAAUAGCAACUUUUUGGUUGGUUUUUGUAGUACUUCUGAUUGAGUCACUAAAUUUGGGAAGGUUGGACCUACCAGUUCUGGAGAGACACUGCUGUAUAUGGAUGUUUUCAUUACCAGCCAGUUGUAAGUUUCUUUUGCUGGAAUACCUAAGAAUACCUUUGUUCAUUCAGAUAUUUAUCAGUCACCUGCUAUAUAGUAGACACUGUGCUAUUUGGUGGUUUUUAUUUUUCUGCUGUCAAGGAGCUUAUAGUUAUGUGAGGGAUAAACAGGACAUUACAAUUCACAGAAUUUGGCACUCCUUAAGAUAGAGGAAGCAGCAUGUAGAAAGGCUCUAAUUCUGUAGUAUAAAGUGCAAGGUUGAUAAAGUACAAGAAAUGAAGAUCAAGAAAUGAAGAUGAAGUAGAAAGGGCCAGACUAUAAUAGCCCUUGUAAACAGUGUUAGAGAGUUCAGCCUUUAUCCUGAGGACUACUGAGAAGUCACAACAGGGUUUUAAGCAGUAAAACCAUAAUCACAUUUGUGCUUUAGAAAGAUCUCUCGGGGGUGCCCGAGUGGCUCAGUCAGUUAAGCAUCCGACUCUUGAUUUCAUCUCAGGUCAUGAUCUCAGGGUCAUGAGAUCGAGCCCUGGGAUGGGCUCUGGCUGAGCAUGGAGACUGCUUAAGAUUCUCUCUCAGCCCCCGCUGCCCCACUCAUGCUCUCUUUCUCUCUAAAAAAAAGAAAGAAAGAAAAGGAAGGAAGGGAGGGAGGAAGCAAAGAAGGAAAGAAGGAAGAAAGGAAGGAAGGAAGGAGAGAGAGGGAAGACGGGAAGGAAGAUGAUAGAUAGAUAGAGAGAGAGAGAGAGAGAGAUCGGGUCGAUCUCCCUGGCUAAUGUGUGGAGAAUGGAUUGGAGACUAGUGGCUGGGAGACCAGCAAGGGGAUUGUUGCAGUUAUCUCGGUAAGAGAGAUUGCUGACCUGAGUGGGAGUUACUGCCGUGGAAUUUGAUUUAAGAGAUGUUUAGGAGGAGAGAACAACAGGAAUUGGUGAUUAUUUGCAUAUGAGUGAUGAUGAGGAUAGAGGGGUCAAGUAUGAUAGCCAAGUUUCAGCCUUAAAGAUGGUAGCAUUCACUAAGAUAGGAAACACAGGAAGAGCAGAUUUAGAAGGAAAGGAUAAUUUCACUGUUAGAUCUACUGAGUAUGUCCCAAAUGUCACAGCCAAAUGGAAGUGUCCAAGUGGUAGUUAGAUAUAUGGAUUUGGACUUCAGGAGAGUUAGCCUGGAGUUGUAGAUUUGGGAGAUAAUAGUACUUGCAAGGUGGCUGAAGUCAUGAGAUUAGAUGAGAUCAUCCAAGGACAGUAUGUGUGGUAAGAAGAGAAGACAUGGGAUAGAACCCUAAAGCAUAGCAGUAAUUUUAAGAGAUGGCUAGAGGAAGAGAUACAGAGAAGCUAGAGAAAUAAGAGGAAAAUCAGUUUGCGACAUGGAUGCCAAAGAAGGAGAGAUCAUUUAAGAAGCAGGAGGGAGCUAACUCUGUCAGAUACUUUAGAUAAAUCAGCUAACAAGAGAGCUGGAGAAGUCCAUUGGAUUUAACCUCUACAAGGUCAUUAGACACGGUGAGUGAGGGUACUUGCACUGGUUUAACUAGGUUGCAACAAAUGUGAAGAUAGAAGUAUAGAUUAGAAUUCAUUAAGUACAAAUAGGGGCUUUUGGUAAAAAUCUUGGAGAGAAUUUACCUUUUAGAGACUGAGAAUUUGCUAAUAGAUGUUGGCUGAUAAAAGCAGUUUAGCCAAGGGGCGCCUGGGUGGCUGAGUCGGUUAAGCGACUGCCUUCGGCUCAGGUCAUGAUCCUGGAGUCCUGGGAUCGAGUUCCGCAUCGGGCUCCCUGCUCAGCCGGGAGUCUGCUUCUCCCUCUGACCCUCCCCGCUCUCAUGUGCUCUCUCUCUCUCAUUCUGUCUCAAAUAAAUAAAUAAAAUCUUUAAAAAAAAAAAAAAGCUGUUUAGCCAAAAGGCACUUUACUGCACUGCUGUAAGGUACUGUAGGAGUGGGGCACCUGGGUGGCUCAGUCGUUAAGCGUCUGCCUUAGGCUCAGGUUAUGAUCCCAAGGUCCUGGGAUCGAGCCCCAAAUCGGGCUCCCUGCUCAGCGGGAAACCUGCUUCUCCCUCUCCCACUCCCCCUGCUUGUGUUCCCUCUCUCACUGUGUCUCUCUCUGUCAAAUAAAUAAAAUCUUAAAAAAAAAAAAGGUACUGUAGGAGUUAAUGGAAUAAAAUGGAUAUCUUGUUGAAUUGGUGUCAAGCCUUCACCGAAGGGGAGUGAGGGGAAUCUUUAGAAUUAAUUGAUGAUACUAAGCUAGGAAGAUGGCCCAUAACUUUCAUGGCCAA